rnacentral:lncRNA from 1 species
AAGCGAAGCUUUCUCUUAUUAUUGGAUCUUGCCAUUGAGUGCAGGAAUUGGGCGACGUUGAGGUGGACUUUGAGAACUGAAGGUUUAUUUACAUUAUUUACAG